UUAAUACUAUCCUGACAUGAUUUAAUGUUAAUUAAUUUUACUGGCUCGAUAUCCAGGUCAGAACAGCAUUUUAACACAUAUUGUGUGAGUGUUUUUCUGAGUGUGUUUCAGUCGUGAAUCCCCUUUGAAAAUGCAUCAACAUCCAGGAACUUGGUCAAUAUUUUGCGCGGUUAGGAGGUGUCAUGUCGCUGUCCAUGAAGGGACACUCACUUACUGUAGCAGCAGCGUCAUCGCGGCAGCGC